AUUGUUUAUUAAAAACACAAGACUGUACUAAGUGGUAAUUCGAUGUAUAGCGUCGGACACCUCUCCGGUGUUAAAAGGUCGAGGAAAAGUGUUAUAAAUUUUGCAUGGAAAUCAUGAAAAACGACAAUAACUUCAGUUGUCCUAAGAUAAGUGAAAUUUCAUGUCGUACAAAUAAUAAUCAACACGAAUUGUGUAA
rnacentral:ncRNA from 1 species